GGAUUAGCUCAGCUGGUCACAGCAUGGUGCUGAUAACACCAAAGCUGUGGGUUUGAUCCCUGCAAGGGCCA
rnacentral:tRNA from 1 species